GGACGAGUGUCCAACAUAAGAUCUGACAUAGAAUCAGUCUACAUAAUAAAAAUAAAAUUAGCAAUAUACUGUAAAAUAUAAAACAAAGAUAUAACAGAACUACAUAAAAUAUUUUACAAUCUUAAUUAUUAGAAGUAAAGACAUUGAUAUAAAGUAUAAUUUUCAUGGUCUUACCAAAAGAUGCACAGCAGAACUCUUACCUUCGUAUCCUAGAACUGCAUAUCGAGGCUGUCCAUCUAAUAGACUCAUCCAAUAUGUCUUAAGCAGAUAUGUUUUAAGCA
rnacentral:lncRNA from 1 species